rnacentral:lncRNA from 1 species
AGAGGAUAAAAAGAGCAGGAAGCUAGGGAAGAAAAGAGACAAAAAGAAGAGGAAAUUAGAGAGCUAAAGAGAGAUAAAAGACAAGAGAGGAACAUAUACUGGCCACAGUAGUUAGGGAACUUAGGAAGAUAGUACCUGGCAACAGAAGAGAAUUCCUGGCUAAAGAUCAGUGUGCCUAAUACGAAGAAAAAGGACAUUGGGUCAGGGACUGCCCCAGAAAGAACAGGAGGGGACACUGGAGAGCCUCUUGGUGCUGGCUAUGCACAGAGAUAGAAGGGAAGCCCGCCCAGUUGUUUUGUGGAUACAGGGACCCAAUGCUCUGUG